GUCCACGCUGUAAACGAUAGAUACUCGCUGUUGCUGGUAAUCAAUCCGGCAGUGGCUUAGCUAACGCGUUAAGUAUCUCGCCUGGGAAGUACGGUCGCAAGAUUAAAACUCAAAGGAAUUGACGGGGACCCGCACAAGCGGUGGAUUAUGUGGUUUAAUUCGAAGCAACGCGCAAAACCUUACCUGGCCUUGACAUGCCUUUGACCGGUGCAGAAAUGUACCUUUCCUUCGGGACAGAGGACACAAGUGCUGCAUGGCUGUCGU
rnacentral:rRNA from 1 species